AUGAACCCCCAUGUUGACUCAGACUCCCCUCCAGCUCCUGUAAGUGCAGAAGCAAACCUUUCCCUUUGUUCACAUGAAACUGAAGCCCUUGCAACAGAACAGAAAGACCCUGGAGCCCAAUGGAGGAGACUCAACCCCAAACAUCUCCAAAUGGACCAGUCCAACAGCAACACUCCAAGUAAAGGAACAUACCAAACGACUCAUAAACAGUGGGGCAGAACAGAAAAUCAAACUGACUAUAGAUCAUCCAUAACAUCAGAGAAAACCAUUGUCUUAGAACAAGAGGAGGAACACUUUCACACAGAACCCUUCAGUUGUGAUGUCACUUCAGAGGAGAGCCUUUAUAGCUGGAUAGACAGCAUUAGAGAGAAAUAUGAAACACAACUCAGACACGACUCAAAUUCAAAUAUCACGGCCCCAACUCAAAACCAGAGGGCCCUACCUCUAAACUUGGAUACCUCAACUUUCAACCCAACACCCCUCUCUCCCGGACUCUCCCCUCUGUCCCUAGAUUCCUGUGAUUUUGGGGUCACAACGGUCGCAGACAACUCUGCUUGCUUCCAGUCCCAAAACAAUAUGGCAGACAGUGACACAGUGGAGAGCCAGAGAAUGGACAUGUUGAGCCUGUGGGACUCAGAGGUUGAACCACAGAAUGAUGGGGACCCUCCGGCCCAUCUAGAGACCAUCUGGGGGUAUCCUGGUGAUGAGAGGAGCCUAGGUGAUAAGGCACACAUUGAUGACAUCAUGUAUCUGAACCAAUCCGAAAGUUUCAUAGAGAAGUUGAUGCUCCACACCAGCAGCAGUAGGAGUGACGGUAGAUCUGAGAUGGAGAGGAUUGACUGUGAUGGAGGGCAGUAUGAAUACAGAUCUGGAUACGGAUGUUCUAUCGAUCCAGUAACAGCCAUAAGAGACUUCAUUAGUGGCCAGGGCAGCUCACAGUGUAUGUUGGAGAGUGCUGUGGGAAGACAAGGUACAGAUAGGCAGUUCACCUGUUUAAAUAUMAACCCAAACCAACUGUCCACCUCUGUAGGCUACCAUUGUGACUUCCCAGACCCCAACAUCCUUCAGAGGUCUUGUCCCCAACAAGAUGGUACCUUCUCAUUCGUGAAUGAUGAUAUGAAUCAGAYUUGUAUUCCCUWUGAGGGAGUGGCCAGAUCCUUCCCGGCCCCAGUUCACACCCCUCAUCCACAUCAGGUUCUGACCCCACCCCUGGAAGAUGAUUGGCUGUUCACUGAUAUCAUGGGGGCCCAWCAGUGUGAGUAG
rnacentral:lncRNA from 1 species